rnacentral:lncRNA from 10 species
AAUAACUCUAUACACAUUACCAUAUUUGAUUUUCACAGCAGCAAGACAAGACAAGUAAUAUUGCAUUCAUUUUCUAUAAAGUACACGGAGAUGUUAAGUGAUUUACCUGGUAUUACUUCAGUGAAAACAGGAAAGAUGAAGGAGGAAAGGAAUGGCAUGAGGUGAAGGAUAAAUAGAGAAUAUUGAUGUGGUAAUAAUGAUCAAAA